ensembl:lncRNA
GCCGAGCAUGCUAUACCGGCCCUCCCGACUUGGAGUGGUAUAACGUGUGCUAGAAAGUUUUUUAAUCUUUUUUCUCUUUGUUUUAUUUCUCCACAGCCGAGAUUGAGAAUAUACCUAUUCAAACCCCUGCUACAGACAAUUGGGCGGAGGAGCGAGGUAAAUAAAAGUUUUUCUUUUUUAAAAUACGAAGGAUAACUCGCGCACGCUGUCCCAGAGAGACGCAAUUUGUUUUCUUAAACUUUUUCCCUUUUGUUUUUCUCGACAGAGAAUAUACCUAUUCAAACCCCCGCUACAGACAAUCGGACGGAGGAGCGAGAGAAUAUACCCAUUCAAACCCCCGCUACAGACAAUCGGGCGGAGGAGCGAGGUAAAUAAAAGUUUUUUUUCUUUUUUAAAAUAUGAAGGAUAUGCCGCGCAUGCUGACCCGGAGAGGUACAAUGUGUUUUCUUAAACUUUUUUCUCUUGUUUUUCUCGACAGAGAAUAUACCGACCGAUACAGAAAAUCAGGCGGAGGAACCAUCCAGAGCUCCUCCUCUCAGGAGACUGAGAGCCCGACGGCGACUUCAUAAGAGGAGGAUCCUCGGAGACCUCAAAUUCAUGUACGCCAUAACCGUCCAUGCAUUUGCAUCGAUAUAUCGACACAAGGAUCUGUAAAAGGGAUGCAAAGUAAAAGCAUACACAUGUAAAAGUCUGUGAAUUAAGAAAUAAAGAAAAUCAUGUCGGAAG